UAUGUGAUCGUCUCUCGCAUAUCAAUAAGCGGAGGAAAAGAAACUAACAAGGAUUCCCCUAGUAACGGCGAGUGAAGCGGGAAGAGCUCAAAUUUGAAAUCUUAAAGGGUUUCCCUUUACGAAUUGUAGUUUAAAGAAGUGUUUUCUGUUGAGGUUUUGGUAAAAGUUCUUUGGAAUAGGACAUCAUAGAGGGUGAGAAUCCCGUAUUUGACCUUUACUUUCAACUUUGUGAUACACUUUCAAAGAGUCGGAUUGUUUGGGAAUGCAGUCCAAAAUGGGUGGUAAAUUUCAUCUAAAGCUAAAUAUUGGCGAGAGACCGAUAGCGAACAAGUACCGUGAGGGAAAGAUGAAAAGAACUUUGAAAAGAGAGUUAAACAGUACGUGAAAUUGUCAAAAGGGAAGCGUUUGACACCAGUGUUGUUUUUCUGAAAAUCAAUUAAAGAACUGUUUAUGCUAAGCUUGUUUAGACUUUAUCAGCUAUCUGUUUAGUUUUAGGCUUUUCUUUAAUGCACUUUUCAGUUAACAAGUCAACAUCAAUUUCUUUUGCUGUAAAAAAGCUUGAGGAAGGUGGCUUGAGAUUCGUCUUAAGUGUUUAUAGCCUCUUGCCUAUGCAGUCGGAGAGAUUGAGGUCUGCAGCGUAGAUCCUUCGGGGCUAAAUGCAUCUGUGCUAAGUUAUAGCAUUUUAUAGACAACUUGUUGACUAUGAUUUGUCUUGUAGCUUACUCGCUUAUGUUAUUUUACCUACGCUUAGGAUGUUGAUCUACAGAGCGAGAGU
rnacentral:rRNA from 1 species